AGUAAGCUGGACAGCCGCGUGGGCAGGCCGAAAGGCCGCUUAUGAGGAAAGUCCGGGCUCCACAGGGCAAGGAUAACGGGUAACGCCCGCCGAAGGCGACUUCAGGAAAAGUGCAACAGAGAUAUACCGCCAUCCAUUGCCUGUCAAUGAGGUUGACAUUCCCGUGGCCGCAGCCGACGUAAAAUGUCGGCUAUGCCCGCCUUAUUUAUGGGUAGACUUAUAAAAUAGUCGAAAUCAUUGACAGGCAAUGGAUGGUAAGGGUGGAAAGGCGGAGAUAAGCACCCGCCCGAUGACUGGGAACUGCUCAUCGCUGUAAACUCUAUCCGGAGCAACACCGUGGUAACGCAACAGGCCGGCCCGGCUGCGUUUAGGAGGUGGCUGGAACGUGUCGGCAACGGCACGUCUAGAUAGAUGGCUGUCUUAAAAGACAGAACCCGGCUUACAGGCUUGCUCGC
rnacentral:RNase_P_RNA from 1 species